UGGAUAAAAGUAAAUUCCAUAAAUGGAGUAAGAAAUCCAGAGUUACAAAAUAGAUUAUUAGAGAUAGACAAACACAUUGACACUUUCCUAUAAGGCAUAAACUCCUAGUGCUAGAGUACUAAAAAUGUUGCUUCAUGAGGUAGGUCUCCCAUGCAUUCAGCACUAUAUCUUCAAGUUAGAGAUUGCUUCUUUUUUCUGCGGAUUUCAUGAAGGAUAAGCUGAUAUCCCUAAUUUCUUAUUUAGUAAGAAUUUCUGGUAGCGUUUGGGUGUGCCGUUUUAGCCUUCUGUUCCUUUCGUAAAAGAUGUGCCAAAUCAAGCAACUUAGACCAUUCCAAUGCAGGCCCUUCAAGAAACAGAAUGAUGGAUUUUUGGAAGGCUUCAAUGACAUCUCCUAUCUAUCAAGGUAUGAAAUAUAGGGACAUGCUUAUUUAAGAAAUUCCAAAUGGUGUUGCCUAUUGCCUCUGGAAUUGUGAGAAGAAGGGAUCUGAAAUAUUUGCAAUUGAAGAAAAGAAUCAAAAGAUCUCCUAUAGAUUCUUCAAAGAUAUAACUUCUUUAGUUUUUGGUAAACACUGUAAAAGGUAAAAUUUCAUUAGAUAUGAAUAGGGCAAAGCCCAAUGAAAUAAACAUUGCAAUAAUAUAAGAUAAAAUGAUGGGAAAUGAAUUAAGUUCAUUGCCUUUUCCUUAUACAACUCAGUAAAUAGUACUAAGUAAUUAAAAACUAGUACUUCCGCGAAUAUGACUUUUUCUUCCGUAAUAGAAAUAUUGAUUUCUUGAAGCUUUCUGCUUCAAAGACGAUGUUCAGAUUUCUUAUCGUGUCCUUCACUAUUACUGAUGCAGCGUCUGAAUUAGAUUGGGUUCAUUUGCUUGUAAAAGAAUUCAGAAUUAGGAAUGAAGAUGGAUCAUUGAUUUGUUCUUUGGUGCAGUAAUCUCAGAGCCACACACACAACUACAAAAGAGAUUUAGACCUACAUUUUGUGAGGGAAAGAGUAAGAAAACAAUGAAUUAUUAUAAAGCACAUCUUCAAUACUUUUGAAAGAGUAGAUAUAUUCACCAAAGCCUUUCGGCCGAAGCCGUUCCAGAGCAUACAUGACAAGAUUGUCAGUUGUUACCAAUAAUCUCAAGGGAGAGCAUUGGUGUAUUAAUAAUACUUAGGUCUGAUUAAGUAAUUAGUGUUGAAAUUAAUCGUGCUGGAGUUGAUUGCAAUUAUUCUAAUAAUCUAAUGAGCAAUUAACUAAUUAUAAGGGAGGUAUAAGAUAAGAUGGAGAAUAUUUCUCAUGGCCGAGAAUAUUGAUUGAUAUAGUAGUUAUCUAAGGUUGGUCGACAAUGAUUAGGGCUCGACUCUUUAGAUAACUAUUAGACCUUUUUUCUCUGAUAAUCAUACAAUGAUUUUAUUCAUCGGCAAGGGUAUAAGGAACCCAAUUACCCUCGGGAUCCGGCACGGCUAGACCCCUUUAACAAACAAUCCUAUUGUCUUGUGUACGUGGCCGAACCUCGUUAACAAAAUAUCUCUUAAAGAAAACAUUGUUUGCCUUUACAUUUAAAUCCCUUCCUUAAAAUUUGUAUUCCUUUCCUUCUACUCAUAAUUUUGUUCGAGAGCCACCAUUGUUCGACAGAGAAGACAACUAUAUUCUAUACAGAGAUUUGAGGAUUGUUCUUGUGUGAACAACAACAAUUAGUAAUGUAAUUAGUUACUUAUAUCAUGGCUUGUUGCUAGGAAGGCCAAGAGAUAAGUGAAAGUGGUUAUUCUCUAAAUUGUUUAAAUACACUUAGCUAUGCAAUAGAAAGAGGAUCAAAGUUUGAAGAUUCUUCAUCCAAGAAUAUAUUGCACUCAUAUAUAGGUUUAUAUUUUUGUAAAAUUACAAUAAUACCUCCCUGCAAAAUGCAAAAGCUUUAUCGCUUCGCACUUUUUAAACCUUGUAACUAACACAAUUCCAAGAGGAAUGUCAGAUUUGAGACAUGUUUGUAAACACCUGGUGCAGUGGUGAAAGUCAUUAGGGUUCUUUUCUUUAUUUGGGGCUAAAUUUUAUGCCUUUUGCUAGAAAAUAACAGAUUAAAUAUAUAUUAUUAAAUUAUAGGAAUUUAAGACAAUAAAUUACUGAUUGUUAAUUGACUGCAAAUCAAUCACUGAUUUGUAAUGGUCCUAAUGGAUACAAAACAAUUACUGAUAGUAAUUAAUUUGUCCCAUAUAUAUAUUCUUACUAAUUAUAACGUAUUCUAGCACUCCCCUCUACUCCAUAUAAAGCUAAGGACAAUAAGUUUUUUUAGCUUACCUCCUUUGUACCUCAGGUCCUCGGAAUUCGAAUUGGCCUUUUCUCUCAAUAAGAUUUUUAAUUUAUCAAAAAAAAUUUUAAAAAGGAUCAUCGUCAAAACGGAGUACUUGAGUCAAAUCGAGCAGAGUAUUUAAGUCAAAUAGAGCGGAGUACUUGAAGAAGAAAAAGUUCAAUAUGGUUUCAAGAAAAAGAAUUGAAGGAAAAAAAUUCCAUUGUCUUUAGAAAGAGUUCACUUGAGAAAAAGACAUGACAAGUAAGAUUGUGCCGUUGUCUGGAAAAAAAGAAUUGUGUAAAAAGAAAAGUCUGCCAUCGUCUUGAGAAAGAAUCAUCUUCAGAGUUGAAAGAAUGACUAGAGAGUUAAGACCAGUUAUAAACAACUCAUCUUCCAAAGAAAAAAGAGAAUAGAGUAAUAGACUCUUGGAUUGGAAAAUGAAUAAGAAGAAUAAUGUCAUCAACAAUGGAGAAAGAAACAACAACAAUAGAUACAAUAACAACAACCAAAGAAAAAGAAAACAAGAGAAGCAACAAUAAUAAUGACUUAAAAAAAUCUCUCCCCUAGUCUUCAUUGACUUGGAUAAAGACUAGGAAGAAGAAGGUCGAAGCAAAUAGGAAGAAGUGGCAACAACCUUACAGUUGUUGAUUUUUCGACAAAAGCUAUAGCUCAUAUACCAUGGGAAAAAUAUAUUGCCGAAUUAUACGAAUUGAAUAAGAAUUGACUCCUCUUAUAUAGAGAGAAGGAGAUACAGCAUAUAAGGAAAUAAAUGAUUGAUCGAUUAUAACAGAUACAAAUCAUUUACCAUAUUCUAACACCUAUGAAUAAGGAUAUAACUUGUACAAAUUAAUGCAUAAGAUUAUAAGUAGAACUUUAUAAAUAUACAGUGUUGCAUCGUUGCAGAUAUAAAUAUCUAUGCUAACUAGAUCUCAUUCUGCACAUACACCUAGAUAGAAAAAUAUGGUUAAAAAGGAAGCAGGUAAAAAAUUCGGGUAUUGAAAUCCUACCCAUCCCCAAUAAUGCCACUGUCAUAAUGAGGAAAGAUAAUGCAGGUUAAUUCACUUAUAUUUCAUGUCUUAUUUUUGAAAUCUUCGACGAUAAUCCAUGUUCACACUUGACACAAGUGUGCCAUGCCAGCUAUGGGUAGGAUUACGCAGAUUGAAAAUUGAGAAUUUGCAUAGCAGUCAAACAUUUCUGCAUCAUCAGUCAAACAUAUCAAUGUAUUUCUUAAUAUUCUGUAUUUAUUUUGCAUUCCUUCAAAAAAUAGAAUACUAAUACUUAUUAAUUCAAAUAGUUUAGAUCAUGAUGAUUCAAGUAUUCAACUCAUCGCCAACAUCAAUAUCCACAUUAAUUUUCAUACCGUGAUAUUUUAAUUUAACAAAGAUACUCUGAAAUCUCCCUCGCCAAAGUUGAUGACUGUCACCUGCGAACCAAAUCAACCAAUGAUUAAAAAACAGAUUAAAACUGAAAUUUAAUAUAUUAAAAUGUAUUUUUUCACCCUCUGAUCACUUGUUACGGUUUAAUAAAAAAAAUUACUACCAUAAUUAAAUCAUGGAAACCUUAAAUUUCAUUUAACCCAAUAGUCUAAUAAUAACAACAGUCCAGAUAAUUCCAAUGUAUUUUGUAUUUGAUUUAACGAUCUACCUCGAUUCAGGAAAUCGUCAAAACAAAAUAAAAAAGAUUGGAAAUUUUUGAAGAAAGUUAAAUAUUAAAAUGGCUUGAAUAUGAAGAAGAUCGGAACUUUAAGGACUAUACGGUGUAGAGAUGGAAAUCUGGAAUGGAGAGAAACCCACAUGCAACGAGCAAAUAUAUUGAUGAUUUCACAGAAAACAGAGAUUUAUUAAACCGGCGAGUGGCGACAAAACCUCCGGGCAGCGAACCAGCAGAGGAAAGGAAAAUAGACACUAGCGAAAGAUAAAUAAUAGAUUUGGGCAAUGAGUGAG
rnacentral:lncRNA from 1 species